rnacentral:siRNA from 1 species
UAUUGGUUGGUCUUUAAUGGACA